rnacentral:rRNA from 1 species
UUGACCUCGAAUCAGGUAGGAAUACCCGCUGAACUUAAGCAUAUCAAUAAGCGGAGGAAAAGAAACCAACCGGGAUUACCUCAGUAACGGCGAGUGAAGCGGUAACAGCUCAAAUUUGAAAUCUGGCUCCUACGGAGUCCGAGUUGUAAUUUGUAGAAGAUGCUUUGGGUUGUGGGUUUGGCCUAAGUUCCUUGGAACAGGACGUCGCAGAGGGUGAGAAUCCCGUAUGUGGCCGAGGCCCGCGCCUAUGUAAAGCUCUUUCAACGAGUCGAGUUGUUUGGGAAUGCAGCUCAAAAUGGGUGGUAAAUUUCAUCUAAAGCUAAAUAUGGGCCAGAGACCGAUAGCGCACAAGUAGAGUGAUCGAAAGAUGAAAAGCACUUUGGAAAGAGAGUUAAACAGUACGUGAAAUUGUUGAAAGGGAAGCGCUUGCAACCAGACUUGGGCGCUGCCGAUCACCCCGAGUUCUCUCGGGUGCACUCGACCGCGCACAGGCCAGCAUCGGUUCGGGUGGCUGGAUAAAGGCCGUAGGAACGUGGCUCCCUCCGGGGAGUGUUAUAGCCUACGGUGCCAUGCAGCCCAGCCGGACCGAGGACCGCGCCUUCGGGCUAGGAUGCUGGCGUAAUGGUUGUAAGCGACCCGUCUUGAAACACGGACCAAGGAGUCUAACAUCUAUGCGAGUGUUUGGGUGGUAAACCCAUACGCGGAAUGAAAGUGAACGUAGGUGAGAACCCCUUUGGGGCGCAUCAUCGACCGAUCCUGAUGUCUUCGGAUGGAU